rnacentral:rRNA from 1 species
UACGGGGGGGGCAAGCGUUGUUCGGAAUUACUGGGCGUAAAGGGCGCGUAGGCGGCCUGCUAAGUCGGACGUGAAAUCCCUCGGCUCAACCGGGGAACUGCGUCCGAUACUGGCGAGGCUUGAAUCCGGGAGAGGGAUGUGGAAUUCCAGGUGUAGCGGUGAAAUGCGUAGAUAUCAGGAGGAACACCGGUGGCGAAGGCGGCUUUCUGGACAGAAACUGACGCUGAUGCGCGAAAGCUAGGGGAGCAAACAGG